GAUGAACGCUAGCUACAGGCUUAACACAUGCAAGUCGAGGGGUAACGAGAGGGAAGCUUGCUUUCCUUGUCGACGACCGGCGGAUGGGUGAGUAACGCGUAUCCAACCUGCCCUUCAGUAAGGGAUAGCCUUUCGAAAGAAAGAAUAAUACCUUAUGUGAUCGUCUGAUGACAUCAGACGACGAUCAAAGAUUUAUCGCUGAAGGAUGGGGAUGCGUCCCAUUAGGCAGUAGGCGGGGUAACGGCCCACCUAACCUACGAUGGGUAGGGGUUCUGAGAGGAAGGUCCCCCACAUUGGGACUGAGACACGGUCCAAACUCCUACGGGAGGCAGCAGUGAGGAAUAUUGCUCAAUGGCCGUAAGGCUGAACCAGCCAAGUAGCGUGCAGGAUGACGGCCCUAUGGGUUGUAAACUGCUUUUAAACGGGGAUAAAGUGAGCCACGUGUGGUUUAUUGCAGGUACCGUUUGAAUAAGGACCGGCUAAUUCCGUGCCAGCAGCCGCAGUAACAC
rnacentral:rRNA from 1 species